AACUUCUCUUUGAAAGCACCCUGCUAAAACUGCAGGAGCCGAGCCUCACAGGUUCAGCUCAUGUGGCCAUGUAAGCAUGGGUACACUGGGGAAGGAGAUUAAAUGCACAGUAUUGGAAAUGAGACUGGAAGGGACCUCUUUCUUAAUGUCUUGUCUUCAUUUGUCUCAAGAUCCUGUGUUACACAC